rnacentral:lncRNA from 1 species
UAUUUUUUACAGCUGGUACCUACACACUCACUUACCACACUCAUUUCCCAUCACUACUAACAACAGUAAAUGGCCGCCCCAUUUUUCGAAAACACGUUACCCUCAUUUCCAUCAUCACACUCCACUCUAUCAGUCUCUCUCUAAAAAAAUAGGUGUGAAAAAAGAAAAAAAAGGUAAUAAACUCUCCCUUCUCUCUCUUAAAAGAUAGAGGAAAAUUAAAAAAAUGAAUGAUUUUUUACUCUUCUUCUUUCCAACGCCAAACCUCUCACGGUACUCCCUAUGUUUUCCGCCGAAAAGUUCCUUUCACCGGCGAAAACCCAUCCUCACCGUGACCCAACCCCCAAACAUCUCCACGCCGUCUCAU